rnacentral:lncRNA from 1 species
CCCCAUGUCCUACCUGCACCUUGAUGAGCUCCUCUGUCUCAGAGUGCUCCAGGUGCUUCCAUGACGGCUGGGUUGCAGUGCAGAGCGGCACACCCCAUGCGGCUGGAUGGGGUGUUAGGCCAUAGCCCUGCCCUGCUGCAGGCCCAUGCCGUUUGUGCAGCAGUGGCUGCCACUGACGGGGAUACCCGUGAGCAUUCGCCUCCUGCUGCUGCUUCCACAUCUUGGGCGUUUUUUGCCAGAAACUGGCCAGAAUCACCCAGGGAGCUGUUGCGUCUUGAGAAGCUGCGGCUUCCUCAGAGAGCUGCUCUCCUGGGAGUGGCCACUGCCGGGUGAGGUAGCCCCAAGAUGUGCAACAUGGACCCGUGUCACAAUGGUCUCUGGGCACGAUGUCACUGCGGGUCACAAAGGCCUGGUGGGCAUUGCUGCCCAUCCCCAGUCCCCGAGGCCUGGCGGUUUCCAUGCUGAUGUCCCUGGUCACAAAGGCCUUCUAUAGGCUGUUGCCCCUUGGUUUGCCUAUGCUUGUUCUUCUCUCAUUGACCUGAAACUCUCUCGCUCCCGCCUUUUGUGAUCCGCUCCUAAAUAUCCCCAAAGAAGCCCUGUGCUGGGCCAAAGUGUGAUUCCCACCCAGCCCAGCAUGUGUCCCAGCCUCGAGCCCAGGUAGAAAUAUCAUCAGAAUAGACAAAACCUCUUUGAAUUUCAUCUGGCUACUCCUUUUAAAGAAAAUAAAGCGUCUUUUUUCAAAAAGUUUAGGAACACAGGACUACCAAGGGAAAUCGCCCUUCUUAUUCAAUGUGGGGAUAAAAGGCUGAGGUACAGAAUGCAUUCUUUGCCUGGGCCUUCAACAGUCAUUGGUUAUCCUGAGGACAAGCAGAGAUUGUCAGUGCCCUGAGCUGGCACACAGGGACAGGGAGCAGAGCAGACCCCCUGCAAUCCUGGAGGAAGUUCGUCAGUGACCUGUGCAGCCACUUGGACGCUGCCAAGUCUGGGGGUCUGGCCCAGAAUCUCCCAGGGAGGCUGAGGGAGCCCAUGGAAGUGCUGGCUAAGCCUCUCAUCAAUCUAUUUUGCCAUCACUCUUGGUCAGUUGGGGAAGGCCCAGAUGAGUGGAGGUGGCAGCGUGACAUCCAUGUC